rnacentral:rRNA from 1 species
UACGUAGGCAGCGAGCGUUGCUCGGAAUUACUGGGCGUAAAGCGCACGUAGGCGGCUUUCUAAGUCGGGGGUGAAAUCCUGGAGCUCAACUCCAGAACUGCCUUCGAUACUGGAAAGCUCGAGUCCGGGAGAGGUGAGUGGAACUGCGAGUGUAGAGGUGAAAUUCGUAGAUAUUCGCAAGAACACCAGUGGCGAAGGCGGCUCACUGGCCCGGUACUGACGCUGAGGUGCGAAAGCGUGGGGAGCAAACAGG